CCGCCGCUCCAUCCCUUCGCCGCCGCCGCCGCCACCGCCGCCCCCGCCACCUCCCGUCGCGGGCAGGCGGGAGGAGCCCUGUCCGGCCAUGGCAACACCGCCGGCGGCCUCCUCCUCCCCCUCACCUUCUCUCCCUCUCCCAAAGGAGGGAAGGUAAUGGAAGGGAUCUGAUCGGAGCGGUGGAUCUGCGCCCUUGCAGUCUCUUCUUUUCUUCACGGAUUCCAGGAGGAGAUCGAAGUGGGAGGUGGACGAGCAGGAGCGCCGCGUCCGCGACAACGAUGAACGACGACCCAGGUUCUCGUCUCCCAUGGCAGGGGCCGGCGAGUGGCAACAGAUGCGGGACACCAACUGGUGGCGCAACGGACAGCGGGAGAUCGGCUGGUGGCAACGGAUGGCAGGAGGCCGCACGACCGUGCGAGGAGCAGGUAGCUGGAGGAUGUCGCCGGUGGAAAUCUGGCAAGUGGCGGCGACAUAGAGGGCUUAUGGAAUUGAAAUCUGAAGACAUGGUGAUUUUUACCCAAUGGGUUAUGCCCUUGAGCACGAAGAUCUUUUGAACUUUGAGGUUCAGGACCACGCGUGCUUCUCACAUUUAUUGAGACAGAGAGUAUUAAUCAACAGCGGUUCAAGUUUCUACAAUGAGCUAUACAUCAUCUAAACUCACAUGGAUAUACCAGUGUUUUGUAGUGUGAGGAUAAUAAGGUGAAAUGAGGCUGCUGCUCACCGGUGGCUCGCCGGCCAUCCGAGAGCCGGAAUUGCGGCCCCACGCGAGGGAAAGAUCAGCGUUGCUGCAGCCACCGCAGGACACCCACCAUGCGCGUACCAUACAGGCAGCAGCAGCCUCACUUCACCUUGGAUGACAUGACGAUUAUGAAAUAUUCAGUCAUCCCCCUUGGGUCUACCUGUUAGAAACUUGGACCUACUCAUGUGUUUGAGAUGAUUGUGCAGAAAAGAUGAAAAACGGGAUAAAAUUCUAUGUGAGAGAUGACCGCUAAAGGAGUGCGAUGCCACCAUCAUGUGCCACAAACCAUACCAAGAACGGCGGGUUAUGGAUAGAGUUCAUUUGAUCCAUCUGAUAAAAAUACCUAUUGGGGAAUAAGCAUGAAAAGUAAUCAACCACUCUUUCCGCAGUGGAGUUCGGCCAUGAUGAUCAGAAGUUUAGGACCACACUGUAGUCAAGAAAAAGGAAUGAUCUUCGUAAGCUACACCCUUUCGAUCCCAAUCUUACCUUUUUUUAAAUUAGUUUUGUUAGUGCUUCCAUUACUUCCAUUAAAAUAUGCUUAAUGGGCUAGAGACUGUACCUUUUCAGAAAGUUAUAGUGUGUGGUAUGUUUGCUGAACUUUUGAUGACAGUUCUUCAGGCAGGAUUUUCGUCCCUAUAUUUUAACUUUGAACAUCAUUAUAUUUAGACAAAUGAUGUGUUUACUGAAUUAUUGUUGUUUAAUUUUUGAAGUUAUGCCUUUCGUAAUAUUCAACUGUAGAUAGACCAAAAGAUAUAGGUAUUAAAUUUUGUGGCUCUAGCAUAGAUGUUUAUCACCACAGUGACAUUUAUUUUUCAAUUUAGAUAAGAAAAAAGAGAUAAGUAUUGAACAGAGAGUAGAGAGGAUAAGAGCAUUGUAGUUCAGCGUGGUUCAUGCCAAAGACUAUGAUACAUAUAAUUUCUUAGGAUAGUGAAAAUUCAUUGAUGAUGCAGUGGAAGUAACACAAGUUCUGCUAGAAUUUCUCUCACAUAAUAUGGAUAGAGGUGGGUUUUGCAUAAUCCAUCUCAGUAACAAGCUUGCAUUGAGUUAUUCUUUUCAAGAAGCUUACCAUGCACAACUACAGGAUACUUGUAGUUCUCAGUGGCAAUUCAUAGCUACAUUCUUCAAUGGGAGACCUAGCAUGCCUUGAGUACAACAAUACAUGAUCGUCUGGCAACAAACUGUUCAUGAUUGAUGCAUAAUAUGUCCUCUGUCCGCAUUUUAAGUAUUUAUAUUAAUAUUUCUGGUUAUCACUGCGGGAGUAGAAAUGGAUUUGAUGAGGGAAGUCUGCAAUGCAGACUGUGUUAAGUGUACCCGCUCCAGAUUUCAUCGACAGUAAAUGGUCCACUGCUAUUGGCAGGUGCCUUCUUGCACUCUUCUGACCCAGAUACGUAAGUGCAUGGCUCAAAACUCACAGAGAGGCACAACUUUGAAAUGGUUUUAUUUAAACAAUGAAACAAUGUUAUUUGACUGAAAAUCUAUAUUAUAUUUUGAUUAUGGGGACACAGCUGAAAUGUAUACACCAAGAAAACAUAACUCUUUUCAGUUGAAUUUCAAAUUCAUGUUGUGGAAAUCAAAUCCAUUUCAAAUUCCAUGAUUUCGGCUAGAAUGAUUAAUGCUACGCCGCUGCUGAUGCCAAAGGUUGUGACACUUUUUUAAUGAUAGUGCAAAUUGAUUGAUGAUGCAGCGCAAGUAGUACAAGUUCAUCAUGUCCACUGCCCAUCCAUGAAUUGUUUUACGAUUGUUUUUCCCGCUGCAAUACACGGGCACAUUGUAGGAGGAAUAUGUAUGCGUUGGUGGGUGCUGGAGGUUCCCUGCAACACCCGAGGAUCCGAUGGCGAGCCGUAGGUCGGGGAAGUCGUCAGCAUACAUAUAAGGAGAUGGAGGUGGAGGUGGCGGUGGAGGGAGACGGGCAUUCACUACUCGUCGGAGGGCGAGGGCACGGAGGACAACCGGCACGACGAUUACCACGCCUUCCUCCCGUCGAAUCACUCAAGCACGACGUCCUGGUCCUCUCUAUCCAUUGGCCCCCUCCAACAUCUACCAUGAUGACCACAUCUUGUUUGUGUAGCAGAAGCGGCGGCCAUCCAUGAUCUUCUUUUGUGCCGACCUGCUAGAAACAGGUUGGGCUAUAGACAACUAGAGAUUGGUCACCUAUCUAGCAGCUCAUUUCUGAAAACAAAGACCAGGUCUAUGUGUUCAAAAUCAUGAAGGAGGAUGUCAAAGUGUUUCUGCAGCGCAUCAGGCGGAAGAAAAAAGCAACAUGAAGUUCCCAUCUACAUCAAACUGCUUUCACUUAUAUUCUGCCAAAUUUGUUCCAUCUAUAGGACUGUACAUGGAGAUUAUCUAUAAGGGUUAUGUCCCGUGCAAGGAGAUUAUCUUAUAGGACAGGCAUAUCAGCCCCCAUUCAGACAUAGCAGAUAUUCAACAGAAGAAGUUCCUCCACUGCUACUGGCCAAACUCUAAGCAAAAAGACCUUCCACUUUCCUUGCUAAUGGUGAGCAACUCAAAGAUGGCUACAAGGUUACACUUAAUAUUUACUCUCUGAAUAACAUAUUAUUUAUUUGACCAAUACAUGUAUAAAUGCCUUGAGAGAACAUGUAUAUAUAGCUGCAUAUAUGUUAUAUCUGAACAAUGGCAGAUUUGACCAUUAAUUACAUGUAUAUACUUGCUAGGAGAGAACGUGUAUAGCUUUCAGUUAAGCUUUUCGAUCAUUAAGCUGUUGCUUUCUCAUCUUAUUUCUAGGUAGAAACAUUAUUGGUGUUCUUUAGCUUAAUUUUGAAACAUGAACACCAUCAUGUCUUCAUCGCCGAAAGUGACGUUCUUUCCCAUUAAUCUGUGCACUCGAAAACUAUUCAAAUAUAUAUUUCCACUUGGUAGUUUUCGUAUGUCCAAUGGUUUGACGGGUGUGCAUUUUCAGGAGAGUUAGCAAAUCUUUUUCCA